rnacentral:pre_miRNA from 1 species
ACAAGCAUGUGCAGCGUUGAUAUGUCUGGUAUUCUUGGGUUGGGUUUUUGUCAACCAGUAUCUCAGACGUAUCAUCGUUAUGCAAUGCAUCGGGCA